rnacentral:tRNA from 1 species
GCCCGGAUGGCGGAACCGGUAGACGCAAAGGGACUUAAAAUCCCUCGGCCGCACGGCCAUGCAGGUUCGACCCCUGCUCCGGGCACCA